CAUAACACUUUCACAAAUCAACAGAAUUACAAACAAGGGUCUACGACCAACAGUCUACAAAAGACCGGCUCUUAAAAAUGAACUGUCCUACGACCUACAAGUCGAACACGUUCUCCAAUCUUAUGACUUCACAUCUGCAACUCCUCAAGACCAACCAAAGCUAUCUGGUCACUCCGUCCACCGGGGACCUGAAAUUUUAAUCCCACAACCGGGAUGAGACGAUGUCUCAGCAAGUUCAACCCCCUAAACCCCUAUUAGAAAGAAAAUACGCCCCGGGUGGCCUAGCCACAUCACACAGAAGACUUACCUCGCCUUAGCCUUCAUCUGCAGGUUAGCACAAUUUAUAUAAUUCAACCACGUACAAUUAUGAUAACCAAACAACCAUGGCACAAUCACAUUAUCAAAACAAUUCAACCACUUGGAUCGUCUCAGCGAUCAAUCGAUUGAGCUGAUUACAUGUCAUUCUAGCAAAUAACUCAUUGCUCUCAAUCUCGGCCCUAUAAGAAGGUUUAACAAUCAGUGGCAAUCACAGCCCCACUCGACACGACCUUUAAUUAGGUGGUCCAUCACGGCCUCACUGGGCACGACCUCUAAUAGGUGGUUAAUCACGGCCUCACUGGGCACGACCUCUCAUAGGUGGUACAUCACGGCUUCACUGGGCACGACCUCUAAUAGGUGGUUAAUCACGGCCUCGCUGGGCACGACCUCUCAUAGGUGGUUCAUCACAGCCUCACUGGGCACGACCUCUAAUAGGUGGUUAAUCACGGCCUCACUGGGCACGACCUUUUCUAGGUGGUACAUCACGGCCUCAUUGGGCAUGACCUUUCCUAGGUGGUACAUCACGGCCUCAUUGGGCACGACCUCUAAUAGGUGGUCAAUCACAGCCAAUCUCCCAUCAAUUUCUACACUUAGGAUUUUAUAAAGAAUCCCUAUUUAUCACAAUCACACUCCAUUUGCCACAAUCAAUCAUCAAAUUCAAAUUCUAAAUACACAGCAGCGAUCAGUAUGAAAUUAUGGGAGAAUAAGGUUCCAAACUAAUUUUCAGAAUUUAUUAAAUAAUUAAAUUUAUUCCGAAAAUUAAUUAAAUAAUAAUAUCCAUAUAUUUCACGAUCCACGCUCAAUCUAUAAUAUCCAACCAUCAAUUUCGAAAUCCGAAUGCACAGCAGCGAUCGGCACGAAAUUCUAAGCAAUCAGGGUCAAAAAUAAUUUUUCCAUUUUUUUUAUAAUAUUUUAAUAAUUUCGGAAUAUAAUAUAAUAUUAUAAAUUCCAGAAUUUCGAAAUCAUUUAAAUAAUUCAAAAAUAAAACCCUAUUAUGUCCCAUAAAGGCUUAACAUUAAAUAAACUCUCUUAGCCUUUAAUUAAACAUACUUUAGAUUAAACAAACAUCUUAAUCUAAAUCACAAUUAAAUAAACUAAAUUAACCACCUAAGAGUACUUAACUUAGACUGAGCACACUUAGGACAUCAUUAACCGUCUAAUCAAGGUUUAGUGAGCUAAACUCACCGGAUUAGCGAGCCGAGC
rnacentral:lncRNA from 1 species